rnacentral:rRNA from 1 species
UACAGAGGGUGCGAGCGUUAAUCGGAAUUACUGGGCGUAAAGCGCGCGUAGGCGGCUUUGCAAGUCGAGUGUGAAAUCCCCGGGCUUAACCCGGGAACUGCAUUCGAGACUGCAUAGCUAGAGUAUGGGAGAGGGAAGUGGAAUUUCAGGUGUAGCGGUGAAAUGCGUAGAUAUCUGAAGGAACAUCAGUGGCGAAAGCGACUUCCUGGACCAAUACUGACGCUCAUGUGCGAAAGCGUGGGGAGCAAACAGG